UACAGGGGGUGCAAACGUUGCUCGGAAUCACUGGGCUUAAAGCGCGUGUAGGCGGGCCAUCACGUCGGUCGUUGAAAGCCCCCGGCUCAACCGGGGAACCGGCGCCGAUACGAGUGGCCUGGAGGGGGGUAGGGGGACCUGGAACUUCCGGUGGAGCGGUGAAAUGCGUUGAUAUCAUCAGGAACACCGGUGGCGAAAGCGGCUUACUGGGUCUCUUCUGACGCUGAGGAACGAAAGCUAGGGUAGCGAACGGG
rnacentral:rRNA from 1 species